rnacentral:rRNA from 1 species
UACGUAGGGGCCUAGCGUUACUCGGAAUUACUGGGCGUAAAGCGUGCGUAGGUGGUUUGUUAAGUCUGUUGUGAAAGCCCCGGGCUCAACCUGGGAAUGGCAAUGGAUACUGGCAAGCUAGAGUGCGGUAGAGGGUAGUGGAAUUCCCGGUGUAGCGGUGAAAUGCGUAGAGAUCGGGAGGAACACCAGUGGCGAAGGCGGCUACCUGGACCAGCACUGACACUGAGGCACGAAAGCGUGGGGAGCAAACAGG